CCUACGGGUGGCAGCAGUGGGGGAUAUUGCACGAUGGGGGCAACCCUGAUGCAGCGACGCCGCGUGAGCGAUGGAGUACUUCGGUAUGUAAAGCUCUGUCAGCAGGGAAGAGAAUGACGGUACCUGACCAAGAAGCCCCGGCUAAAUACGUGCCAGCAGCCGCGGCAAUACGUAUGGGGCAAGCGUUAUCCGGAUUUACUGGGUGUAAAGGGAGCGUAGGCGGCAGGGCAAGCCUGAUGUGAAAGCCCGGGGCUCAACCCCGGGACUGCAUUGGGAACUGCCCCGCUCGAGUGCCGGAGGGGCAGGCGGAAUUCCUAGUGUAGCGGUGAAAUGCGUAGAUAUUGGGAGGAACACCAGUGGCGAAGGCGGCUUACUGGACUGUAACUGACGUUGAGGCUCGAAAGCGUGGGGAGCAAACAGGAUUAGAUACCCGUGUAGUC
rnacentral:rRNA from 1 species